AUUUAAGUAGUAUAUUAAAUUACAUUAUCCUUUCUAGAUAAAAAUAUUUUUUUACUAAAAAAAAUCUUAAAUU
rnacentral:tRNA from 1 species